rnacentral:rRNA from 1 species
UUUCCAGCAGCCGCGGUAAUACGUAGGAUGCAAGCGUUGUCCGGAAUUAUUGGGCGUAAAGAGAACGUAGGUGGUUUUCUAAGUUUGGUCUUAAAGACCGGGGCUUAACUCCGGGAAUGGAUCGAAAACUGGGAGACUAGAGGAUGUCAGAGGAAAGUGGAAUUCCGAGUGUAGCGGUGAAAUGCGUAGAUAUUCGGAGGAACACCAGUGGCGAAAGCGACUUUCUGGGGCAUUCCUGACACUGAGGUUCGAAAGCUCGGGGAGCAAACAGGAUUAGAUACCCCCGUAGUCC